rnacentral:rRNA from 1 species
AUUGAACGCUGGCGGCAUGCCUUACACAUGCAAGUCGAACGGUAACGGGCCUUCGGGUGCCGACGAGUGGCGAACGGGUGAGUAAUGUAUCGGAACGUACCGUUCAGUGGGGGAUAACGUAGCGAAAGUUACGCUAAUACCGCAUAUUCUGUGAGCAGGAAAGCAGGGGAUCGCAAGACCUUGCGCUGAUUGAGCGGCCGAUAUCAGAUGAGCUAGUUGGUGAGGUAAAGGCUCACCAAGGCGACGAUCUGUAGCGGGUCUGAGAGGAUGAUCCGCCACACUGGAACUGAGACACGGUCCAGACUCCUACGGGAGGCAGCAGUGGGGAAUUUGGGACAAUGGGGGCAACCCUGAUCCAGCCAUGCCGCGUGAGUGAAGAAGGCCUUCGGGUUGUAAAGCUCUUUCGGCCGGGAAGAAAUCGUAUCAGCUAAUACCUGGUGCGGAUGACGGUACCGGCAUAAGAAGCACCGGCUAACUACGUGCCAGCAGCCGCCGUAACAC